CCAGGUGGUGUCGUUUUCAUGAUAAUUGCCAGAUAAACGACCAAUCGUUUAAGCCAUCAUUUGACAUUUCUUACCAGCUUAGCCUUCUCAGCCUGACAGUCUCCUGCCCGAAGUCUCGUCUUUCCCUCUACUCGCUAGCUCGGUAAAGCGUAUGAAAUUGCAGGGACAUUCGUAAGUCGUGAUGAACAAUUUGUCCAAUGCGGCUUUGAGAGACGAUAGAAAACAUUUUUGCAGCUUCAAACCCAUUCCAACCCUCGCUCUUUACAUUUUAAUACCCCUUUCUUGUUGGGUCUUGCCGUUUCUGUCUUCUUUCUCAUUGUGGUUCGAAAUGCAGCUUUCUUCGUCUCCUUCGUUUUGCUCUUUUCUCUCUUUUUCGCUUUCAUAGGUUGGAACACCCACAACUGGAGGAAAAAAGGUGCAAUUUUUCUCUUCUUCCGCUCUUUUCCUGACUCUGACAUUCGCCGUGCUAAAGAGGGUCAGCUCGUAAAGAUAACCGGGCUUGCAACUUGUGGCAGUGUCUCACUGGAAUCUUCAUAUGAAAAGGCAACCAGAUGCGUCUAUGCAUCCACCCUUUUGUAUGAAUGCAGAGGAUUUAGCAUGAGACCAGUGAAUAUAAACAAAUCAUGCUUUCGUUGGAAUUUAGCUUAUUGUGAGAGGUUCUCUACAGACUUUUACAUAACAGACCAGAAGUCUGGGACACAAGUGGUGGUGGAAAGCCGGGUCCCGGCAGCAGGGUUAUACCAUUAAUUGCAGAG